UCCAUUGUUGGUGGGAUUGCAAGCUUGUACAACCACUCUGGAAAUCAGUCUGGCGGUUCCUCAGAAAAUUGGACAUAGUACUACCGGAAGAUCCAGCAAUACCUCUUCUGGGCAUAUAUCAAGAAAUAUAUUUCUUAACUGAUAGGUUGAUUGUAUGUGUGUGUGUGUGUAGUGUAUAUGUGUGCAUGUGUAUAGUGUAUGUGUGUGUAUGUAGAUGCUGUUUUAUUUCCAUGUAGCCUCCAAGUUGUGUUUAAUUAAUGCAUAAUCUUUUACCUAAUGUCUCUUUUCAACUAUAAACUAAUCUCCAUGAGACAGGAACAAUCAAUAUCUGUAGAUACACACUCACACACAUAGAUCUAUAGAUAGAUAGAUAGAUAGAUAGAUAGAUAGAUAGAUAGAUAGAUAGAUAGACAGACAGAUAAAUACAGAUAGGUGUAAAGACUGACAAAAUAUCAGAAAAGACUAUAGAUGUUUAUUCACAAAUUUUAAAAAUGUGUUGAAUAUACAUUAAAUGUAAAAUAUACUACUAAAUCAUAUUACAAGGAAUGUUUUCCUCUUUAUGUUUCUCUGUAUUCUAUUAUUUCUGGGAAAUUAACGCCAUUAUUUAAAAACUUAAAAAGACAGGUUGUUUAGCUACUAAGUCCUCUGCACUUGCAUAGUGCACUUAUUUUUAUUUCUCAGAUCCUUAUCAUGGCAACUCCACAUAGCAUCACACAGCUGGCUGACUGAAGGCAAGAUGAGCCAGUAACUAGGAGAUCUGGGACUUGAUAAAAUUUCUUUGAGUCAAGAGCUGUGUGUUCUUGUUUUACCUCCAUUGGGCAAUGUUCCAUUGAAAAUAGCUCUCUUAAAAAUGAAAUAAAGUUUGAUUUUCAAAACCAAAUAUGACGUCUUGAACUGGAGCCCAGCUUACACUAUUGAUUAGGUUUGCAAUUUGGGGCAAGGUAAUAAAUUUUUUUUCAGUUAGUUUUAGAGACUAAGAUGAAGAUACAAGGUGACUCCAUUUUACAUACUACAGUCUGAGAUAAAGAGCAAGACCAGACACUAUAGAGAUGGCUAAGCUUUACAAACAGGUUAACAUUUCAAAGUACCUAAAACAGAAAUCAAGUCAUGCGGGACUGGGCCUAAAGACUUGGAGAUUGAUGUGAAGAAUCAUUUUCUGGGUAGCAGUGGAAAUGAAAAUAUCCAUCAAAAUGAGAACCAGAUCCAGGUUAACUGCCAGGAGCAAGGGUCAGGGUCAAAGCAAGGUUCUGAAGGUGAAAGUCCAGACCUUUGCAUAGGAGCCUCACCAUGAGGAGCAGAACUGGUGUAACCACACAAGCUGAUUCCUUCUACGUGACAUUAGUUUUAUGGAGCAGUCUGCCAGGAUUGUGUUUUGUUUUGUUUGUUUCUCUAAUCUUGAAGAGCUACCACAAGUAAUAACUUUAAGAAGCUAUUUAUCAAAACCAGGAAGAAGAAAAACUACAGAAGC
rnacentral:lncRNA from 1 species